GCGCGGUGGCUCCCCGGCCAGGUGCCGGUGCGAGGCUGGAGCGCGGGCGCGCGCCGGCCCGCAGGUAUUCCUCUGAUCAACGCAUGGUGACUUCGCUCUUCUGCCUGAGAGUGGUUCAAAAUAAUGUUUAAAGUCAUGUGGACUUGCUUCACAUAAUAAGAUGCAUUUUCCAACUGGAGACGGAUUUGUAUCUACUCAGAGGCGACCUCAAAAGGAGGAGCAAGCAGGACUGGGAAGGUCUCAGAAUGAAGAACGAAACAGAAUAUCCUCUUUUGUGUCCAGGACAAGGUCAGAACGAGUCUAGUCAUACCUACAG